rnacentral:misc_RNA from 1 species
AAGUACUUACCGUCAUAAAGUUGUUUUGCAAUUGGAAAGUUUUCCCUUCACGCGCUACGUAUGCGCUGCCAUUUUUAUUUGGUAACAUUGUUCGGGUGGGAGGUGGCGCGCCAGUCGAAUACAGUGCACCGUGAGAGCUCCGCCUGUUUGUACCGUUUGUACGGGAAGCCGACCGAGAAGAGAGACUGAAACUGAUCGCCGUUUUGCUUAUAUAUUUUAAUUGUAAAUCCAACAUAGGUCCUCCGGGCCGGAUGGACUGAUAUUUUUCAGUUCCAUCUUGCUUGAUUUUUGUUUUGCUUUACUUACCGUCAAGAUCGUUUAGUGAAUUGUGAAUGUGAUAUCAAGAUGGCAGAGCAAGAUGAAAAGGCCAGAUCAAGAUGUAGAGGGCGUGGAAGCAUCGAAAGAGGGUGUGUGACCACCUGACCCGGCGCUGGAGCACAGAGUACCUCCGCGCUCUUCGCUGUUGGAGCAAGUCGCCACGGGGGAGGCCCGACCGCACGCCCGGAGUUGGUGACGUCAUCCUCGUGCAGAACGAGGGACCGCGCGGCCGGUGGCCGCUGGCGCGCGUGAUGCAGCUGCUUCACGGUCCUGACGGCCAAGCGCGUGCUGCUACUGUCCGUGUGCGCGGGCGUCCCACGCGCCGCCCUCUCAGCCGGCUCUAUCAGUUGGAAGCAUCCGAGUGAUACCUAACGUGAGGUGUUCUAUGUCACUGCGGAACGUCGCUUGUUUGUUUGUUUUGUGAUGUAAGCUGCUGUGUGUUACCGGGCCACCGUGAUGUCUAGAUAUUCGUAUUCAAGUCGGUUAUUGCGAAAUCUUGUGAGAUUUCGGGUGGGGAGUGUAUGUCGGAAGUACUUACCGUCAUAAAGUUGUUUUGCAAUUGGAAAGUUUUCCCUUCACGCGCUACGUAUGCGCUGCCAUUUUUAUUUGGUAACAUUGUUCGGGUGGGAGGUGGCGCGCCAGUCGAAUACAGUGCACCGUGAGAGCUCCGCCUGUUUGUACCGUUUGUACGGGAAGCCGACCGAGAAGAGAGACUGAAACUGAUCGCCGUUUUGCUUAUAUAUUUUAAUUGUAAA